GGGUUGUGAGGUUAAGCGACUAAGCGUACACGGUGGAUGCCCUGGCAGUCAGAGGCGAUGAAGGACGUGCUAAUCUGCGAUAAGCGUCGGUAAGGUGAUAUGAACCGUUAUAACCGGCGAUUUCCGAAUGGGGAAACCCAGUGUGUUUCGACACACUAUCAUUAACUGAAUCCAUAGGUUAAUGAGGCGAACCGGGGGAACUGAAACAUCUAAGUACCCCGAGGAAAAGAAAUCAACCGAGAUUCCCCCAGUAGCGGCGAGCGAACGGGGAGCAGCCCAGAGUCUGAAUCAGUGUGUGUGUUAGUGGAAGCGUCUGGAAAGGCGCGCGAUACAGGGUGACAGCCCCGUACACAAAAAUGCACAUGCUGUGAGCUCGAUGAGUAGGGCGGGACACGUGGUAUCCUGUCUGAAUAUGGGGGGACCAUCCUCCAAGGCUAAAUACUCCUGACUGACCGAUAGUGAACCAGUACCGUGAGGGAAAGGCGAAAAGAACCCCGGCGAGGGGAGUGAAAAAGAACCUGAAACCGUGUACGUACAAGCAGUGGGAGCCUCUUUAUGGGGUGACUGCGUACCUUUUGUAUAAUGGGUCAGCGACUUAUAUUCUGUAGCAAGGUUAACCGAAUAGGGGAGCCGAAGGGAAACCGAGUCUUAACUGGGCGUUAAGUUGCAGGGUAUAGACCCGAAACCCGGUGAUCUAGCCAUGGGCAGGUUGAAGGUUGGGUAACACUAACUGGAGGACCGAACCGACUAAUGUUGAAAAAUUAGCGGAUGACUUGUGGCUGGGGGUGAAAGGCCAAUCAAACCGGGAGAUAGCUGGUUCUCCCCGAAAGCUAUUUAGGUAGCGCCUCGUGAAUUCAUCUCCGGGGGUAGAGCACUGUUUCGGCAAGGGGGUCAUCCCGACUUACCAACCCGAUGCAAACUGCGAAUACCGGAGAAUGUUAUCACGGGAGACACACGGCGGGUGCUAACGUCCGUCGUGAAGAGGGAAACAACCCAGACCGCCAGCUAAGGUCCCAAAGUCAUGGUUAAGUGGGAAACGAUGUGGGAAGGCCCAGACAGCCAGGAUGUUGGCUUAGAAGCAGCCAUCAUUUAAAGAAAGCGUAAUAGCUCACUGGUCGAGUCGGCCUGCGCGGAAGAUGUAACGGGGCUAAACCAUGCACCGAAGCUGCGGCAGCGACGCUUAUGCGUUGUUGGGUAGGGGAGCGUUCUGUAAGCCUGUGAAGGUGUACUGUGAGGUAUGCUGGAGGUAUCAGAAGUGCGAAUGCUGACAUAAGUAACGAUAAAGCGGGUGAAAAGCCCGCUCGCCGGAAGACCAAGGGUUCCUGUCCAACGUUAAUCGGGGCAGGGUGAGUCGACCCCUAAGGCGAGGCCGAAAGGCGUAGUCGAUGGGAAACAGGUUAAUAUUCCUGUACUUGGUGUUACUGCGAAGGGGGGACGGAGAAGGCUAUGUUGGCCGGGCGACGGUUGUCCCGGUUUAAGCGUGUAGGCUGGUUUUCCAGGCAAAUCCGGAAAAUCAAGGCUGAGGCGUGAUGACGAGGCACUACGGUGCUGAAGCAACAAAUGCCCUGCUUCCAGGAAAAGCCUCUAAGCAUCAGGUAACAUCAAAUCGUACCCCAAACCGACACAGGUGGUCAGGUAGAGAAUACCAAGGCGCUUGAGAGAACUCGGGUGAAGGAACUAGGCAAAAUGGUGCCGUAACUUCGGGAGAAGGCACGCUGAUAUGUAGGUGAAGUCCCUCGCGGAUGGAGCUGAAAUCAGUCGAAGAUACCAGCUGGCUGCAACUGUUUAUUAAAAACACAGCACUGUGCAAACACGAAAGUGGACGUAUACGGUGUGACGCCUGCCCGGUGCCGGAAGGUUAAUUGAUGGGGUUAGCGGUAACGCGAAGCUCUUGAUCGAAGCCCCGGUAAACGGCGGCCGUAACUAUAACGGUCCUAAGGUAGCGAAAUUCCUUGUCGGGUAAGUUCCGACCUGCACGAAUGGCGUAAUGAUGGCCAGGCUGUCUCCACCCGAGACUCAGUGAAAUUGAACUCGCUGUGAAGAUGCAGUGUACCCGCGGCAAGACGGAAAGACCCCGUGAACCUUUACUAUAGCUUGACACUGAACAUUGAGCCUUGAUGUGUAGGAUAGGUGGGAGGCUUAGAAGUGUGGACGCCAGUCUGCAUGGAGCCGACCUUGAAAUACCACCCUUUAAUGUUUGAUGUUCUAACGUGGACCCGUAAUCCGGGUUGCGGACAGUGUCUGGUGGGUAGUUUGACUGGGGCGGUCUCCUCCUAAAGAGUAACGGAGGAGCACGAAGGUUGGCUAAUCCUGGUCGGACAUCAGGAGGUUAGUGCAAUGGCAUAAGCCAGCUUGACUGCGAGCGUGACGGCGCGAGCAGGUGCGAAAGCAGGUCAUAGUGAUCCGGUGGUUCUGAAUGGAAGGGCCAUCGCUCAACGGAUAAAAGGUACUCCGGGGAUAACAGGCUGAUACCGCCCAAGAGUUCAUAUCGACGGCGGUGUUUGGCACCUCGAUGUCGGCUCAUCACAUCCUGGGGCUGAAGUAGGUCCCAAGGGUAUGGCUGUUCGCCAUUUAAAGUGGUACGCGAGCUGGGUUUAGAACGUCGUGAGACAGUUCGGUCCCUAUCUGCCGUGGGCGCUGGAGAACUGAGGGGGGCUGCUCCUAGUACGAGAGGACCGGAGUGGACGCAUCACUGGUGUUCGGGUUGUCAUGCCAAUGGCACUGCCCGGUAGCUAAAUGCGGAAGAGAUAAGUGCUGAAAGCAUCUAAGCACGAAACUUGCCCCGAGAUGAGUUCUCCCUGACUCCUUGAGAGUCCUGAAGGAACGUUGAAGACGACGACGUUGAUAGGCCGGGUGUGUAAGCGCAGCGAUGCGUUGAGCUAACCGGUACUAAUGAACCGUGAGGCUUAACCUUACAACGCCGAAGCUGUU
rnacentral:rRNA from 1 species